AAUUUUGUCUAUUACUUACAAUUUUAUUUUAUUGGUGAAAUAUUUUAUAUUUUGUAAUGGAUCGUUACAUAAUACAAUCAUUACUAAAGACCAAAAGAGUUCGUCUAUACAAACGGAUGAAAACGUUGAUGAUCCGAUAACUGGUACCUACUGACAUUUCACCAACAUCAACUGAAAAUGUACCACAAAAUUGUUCACUGUUUCUAUACUUAUUUGACGAAUUUUACAAACUGUUAUCGACCAAUGGUAAUAAAAUAAUGGCAUCUUGUGUGACCUGUCAUAAUAAGAUAAGUGCGUCAACGAAAUCGAGUGGCAACUUAUUAAUCCAUAUUAAAACUCAACAUCCAGUAUUAAUGCCGAAAGUUGAAAUACCCAGAAGUAAGAAAAGUUCAAAUGUUAUUCAAACCAAAAUUGUUGAUGUUCGUCCAAAAAAAAUUUAUAAAGACAUGGUGAAGGAUUUAGUAUUUGAAUAUAUUGUGAAUGAAAUGUGACCAUUAAGAACUUGUGAAAAAAAAAUUUCAAAAGUUUAAUUUUAGGACUUACUGGAUCAAAUGAUGCUAUAGUUCCACGCAGAAAACAGUUAUCAAAACAAUUAGAUUUAAAAUAUGAACUAUACGUUUCAAUGCUAACUGAUUUAAUAGCAAACAUGAUUAUAUUUGUGCAACAGCCGAUAUAUGGAGUGCCAAUAACCGUAGUUGCAUGGUAUGACUUGUCACUUCAUAGAUGAGAAAACAUAUUUUUGGCAAUCAUAUGUCAUUGGUUGUAUACGCAUUAAAGGAAGCCACAACUAUCAAAAUAUUACUGAGGUUAUAACAGAAAUUGCAAAAACGUACAAAAUUGAUUUUCUAUCAAAAAUAACACAUAUUGUCACAGAUAAUGCUUCUAACUUUGGUAAAGCAUUCAGAGUGUUCUCUUCUCUUCCAACUCAUGAAGCAAGUACAAGUAAUUUGGGGAAUUUUAAUGAAAAUAGUUCAGAGAGUUCAAAUUUUGAUAGUGGAUCUGACUGCUCAGACUUGGAUUCAGAAAGAGUUAAUUUGAAUAAUUUGCUAAAUGUCGAAUCAAACCUAGGUAACAAUGGCAGUUUUUUUUUACCUUAGCAUAUGCUAUGUUGUGCACAUACAUUAAAUUUAAUUGCAGCCAAUGAUAUUUCUGAAAUUUCUAAUAAUGAUUACAACAAAAUUUCUAAGUCAACUUUUAAUAAACUAUCAAACUUUUGUAAUUUGGCUAGUAGAAAUACAGCAGCAUCAGACACAAUAUAUGACGUUUGCAAGUGUAAGUUCCCAGUACCUGUGGUA